rnacentral:lncRNA from 1 species
AGGAAACAAACUAAGUUGAGGAGAAAAUAGCGUAAUCAAGAAACUAUCCUUGAAGUCAGUAGUUUAGUCACCAAAUUCGAAGUAGAAAAAGAGUAGAUGGCUGAAGAAUGCAUAUUAAAAGUGCUGGCAGCCCCGCCUACCAACAAGUAGACCCUUUGCAUCACUUGUUUAAUCUUGGAAGCAACAUUUGAACUAAAAUUUGGGUUGAUUCGUUUGCUGCCCAAAUUUUGAGGAUU